rnacentral:misc_RNA from 1 species
GACAGAUGUAGAAUUUAGACUUUAAAGGCAAACGCAUAUUUACUUCUAGAAAACCAAAGCAAAACUUUAAUUGAUUCUUAUGAAUUUAGCCUAAUGAAAAAAGUAAAAACCAAAUGAGCUAGGAAAGGUAAAACAAUUAGAAGUCAAGAAAAGGAUUGAAGAGAAGGCCUCUGACUCUAAAAUCCAGCAGUUGGAGAGAUAAACUUAUCCCACUUGACUGGUAGACCACUAAAAAAAUGCAGAGGAUCCAUUGCCACAUCCCUCAUAGGCACUUGAUGAACAGUUCACCUCCUCUGUAAUGAAAUUCUGUGCCCAUCUAACAAGAAAUGAAGCUUGCUGCACCAGCUUCACUGACCUCUUUAUUCGGUUCUAUAUAUUAAGAUACAACAGGAGCAUUGUUGAAGCUUUAUUUGAAGAUAGGCCAAUCUCAGCAAGUUAAACUCUGCUCAAAUAUUAACAAUAAGAGGAAUUGACAAACAGUAAUAUUCUAAUAUCUCUGAGUAGAAUGAUUAUUUGAGUCUCUGAAUUUUUUAUUUUUGGCUCCUUGAUUCCAUUUAUUUUCUGCAUGGAAUCUGAAAUAAAGAGCAAGAUUAAUUUAGAUUAACAAAUUUGAUUUCAUUCAUUUUGGUGUGGUUCUUAUUGCUAUCGGUUAUGUUAACACAUGAUUGCAGUUGAGAAGAUGUUAAAAUUCUGAUUUCAGUUGAAUUCUGGCUUCACCCUCAUUUAUAUUCAACUGUCUGUGAAGUUGAAUUCUGAUUUUAGAUUCUGGAGAUCGAUUCUAACAUGUUAAUUCCUGUAAAUUGCAAUCAUGCAUACUAGCUACAGCAUCUUUCUGCUAUAGAAGAUCAUUAUUUUUCAUGAACUUUUCCAAUUAUAACCAAA